rnacentral:rRNA from 1 species
CCUCGGGUGGCAGCAGUGAGGAAUAUUGGUCAAUGGACGAGAGUCUGAACCAGCCAAGUAGCGUGAAGGAUGACUGCCCUAUGGGUUGUAAACUUCUUUUAUAUGGGAAUAAAAUGUUCCACGUGUGGGAUUUUGUAUGUACCAUAUGAAUAAGGCUCGGCUAAUUCCGCGCAAGCAGCCGCGGUAAUACGGAGGAACCGAGCGUUAUUCGGAUUUAUUGGGUUUAAAGGGGGAGUAGGUGGAUUGUUAAGUCAGUUGUGAAAGUUUGCGGCUUAACCGUAGAAUUGCAGUUGAAACUGGCAGUCUUGAGUACAGUAGAGGUGGGCGGAAUGCGUGGUGUAGCGGUGAAAUGCUUAGAUAUCACGAAGAACUCCGAUUGCGAAGGCAGCUCACUGGACUGCAACUGACACUGAGGCUCGAAAGUGUGGGUAUCAAACAGGAUUAGAUACCCCAGUAGUC